rnacentral:rRNA from 1 species
GAUGAACGCUGGCGGCGUACCUAAUACAUGCAAGUCGAGCGAACAGACGAGGAGCUUGCUCCUCUGACGUUAGCGGCGGACGGGUGAGUAACACGUGGAUAACCUACCUAUAAGACUGGGAUAACUUCGGGAAACCGGAGCUAAUACCGGAUAAUAUAUUGAACCGCAUGGUUCAAUAGUGAAAGACGGUUUUGCUGUCACUUAUAGAUGGAUCCGCGCCGCAUUAGCUAGUUGGUAAGGUAACGGCUUACCAAGGCAACGAUGCGUAGCCGACCUGAGAGGGUGAUCGGCUACACUGGAACUGAGACACGGUCCAGACUCCUACGGGAGGCAGCAGUAGGGAAUCUUCCGCAAUGGGCGAAAGCCUGACGGAGCAACGCCGCGUGAGUGAUGAAGGUCUUCGGAUCGUAAAACUCUGUUAUUAGGGAAGAACAAAUGUGUAAGUAACUAUGCACGUCUUGACGGUACCUAAUCAGAAAGCCACGGCUAACUACGUG